rfam:Pseudomonas fuscovaginae strain IRRI 6609 Pf_IRRI_6609_contig_9.9, whole genome shotgun sequence.
CAAGGGAAGCGGAUGUAUUCCAAAUCUGUUUAAAAAAUGAGCAGGCCUGACUGGACGUACCGCGAUACUGACCAAUACUUCAAAUGUCGACGGGCAUAUCCCCCAAGUGUCACGUCGAUAAAGGUGCCAAUGGACCGCGCGCCUUUGUUUUACUCCUAAUGGUCUUGACCCGGAUUCACCCCCCAGAACCCGG